ACUGCCCCAGAGGCGCGGCAGACGUGGCUGCCACGUCACAUUUGUGUCAUGCGGUGGCAGAGAACAGAGAGGCCUGUCUAUGCCCAGCAUUCUGGCGUGAGCGCCUGGGUGAUUGAUGGUCUGACACU